ensembl:snoRNA
UCGCUCCCAUGAUAUCCAGCACUGGGCUCUGUCCUUCCAUGAGGACACGGUGCCCCUGGGACCUUUGACACCCAGGGGUCUCAGAGUUCCCAUUCUAAGGAGGUG